AGUGAACGCUGGCGGUAGGCCUAACACAUGCAAGUCGAACGGCAGCACAGUAAGAGCUUGCUCUUACGGGUGGCGAGUGGCGGACGGGUGGGGAAUACAUCGGAAUCUACUUUUUCGUGGGGGAUAACGUAGGGAAACUUACGCUAAUACCGCAUACGACCUACGGGUGAAAGCAGGGGAUCUUCGGACCUUGCGCGAUUGAAUGAGCCGAUGUCGGAUUAGCUAGUUGGCGGGGUAAAGGCCCACCAAGGCGACGAUCCGUAGCUGGUCUGAGAGGAUGAUCAGCCACACUGGAACUGAGACACGGUCCAGACUCCUACGGGAGGCAGCAGUGGGGAAUAUUGGACAAUGGGCGCAAGCCUGAUCCAGCCAUACCGCGUGGGUGAAGAAGGCCUUCGGGUUGUAAAGCCCUUUUGUUGGGAAAGAAAAGCAGCAGGUUAAUACCCCGCUGUUCUGACGGUACCCAAAGAAUAGGCACCGGCUAACUUCGUG
rnacentral:rRNA from 1 species